rnacentral:rRNA from 1 species
GAUGAACGCUGGCGGCGUGCCUAAUACAUGCAAGUCGAGCGAACAGACGAGGAGCUUGCUCCUCUGACGUUAGCGGCGGACGGGUGAGUAACACGUGGAUAACCUACCUAUAAGACUGGGAUAACUUCGGGAAACCGGAGCUAAUACCGGAUAAUAUAUUGAACCGCAUGGUUCAAUAGUGAAAGACGGUUUUGCUGGCACUUAUAGAUGGAUCCGCGCCGCAUUAGCUAGUUGGUAAGGUAACGGCUUACCAAGGCAACGAUGCGUAGCCGACCUGAGAGGGUGAUCGGCCACACUGGAACUGAGACACGGUCCAGACUCCUACGGGAGGCAGCAGUAGGGAAUCGUACGCAAUGGGCGAAAGCCUGACGGAGCAACGCCGCGUGAGUGAUGAAGGUCUUCGGAUCGUAAAACUCUGUUAUUAGGGAAGAACAAAUGUGUAAGUAACUAUGCACGUCUUGACGGUACCUAAUCAGAAAGCCACGGCUAACUACGUG